rnacentral:sRNA from 1 species
GAAAAAAGAGGGAUUUAACACGAGGACUUUCCGAGAGGUAACCCAUCCUAGUACUACUCUCGUCCAAGCACCCUUAACUGCGGAGUUCUGAUGGGAUCCGGUGCAUUAGUGCUGGUAUGAUCGCAUGUGUUACUACAUGCAAUGUAAUCAUAUCUAUUCUUUUUUUAAAGACUUUAUGAUUCAUUUGCCGUGGGUCCCACCAGCUAUGUAGGAAUACCCUAUUUUCU